rnacentral:rRNA from 1 species
AGAGUUUGAUCCUGGCUCAGGACGAACGCUGGCGGCGUGCUUAACACAUGCAAGUCGAACGGAAAGGCCCUUCGGGGUACUCGAGUGGCGAACGGGUGAGUAACACGUGGGUGAUCUGCCCUGCACUUUGGGAUAAGCCUGGGAAACUGGGUCUAAUACCGAAUAUGACCAUGCGCCUCCUGGUGUGUGGUGGAAAGCUUUUGCGGUGUGGGAUGGGCCCGCGGCCUAUCAGCUUGUUGGUGGGGUAAUGGCCUACCAAGGCGACGACGGGUAGCCGGCCUGAGAGGGUGACCGGCCACACUGGGACUGAGAUACGGCCCAGACUCCUACGGGAGGCAGCAGUGGGGAAUAUUGCACAAUGGGCGCAAGCCUGAUACAGCGACGCCGCGUGAGGGAUGACGGCCUUCGGGUUGUAAACCUCUUUCAGCACAGACGAAGCGCAAGUGACGGUAUGUGCAGAAGAAGGACCGGCCAACUACGUGCCAGCAGCCGCGGUAAUACGUAGGGUCCGAGCGUUGUCCGGAAUUACUGGGCGUAAAGAGCUCGUAGGUGGUUUGUCGCGUUGUUCGUGAAAACUCACAGCUUAACUGUGGGCGUGCGGGCGAUACGGGCAGACUUGAGUACUGCAGGGGAGACUGGAAUUCCUGGUGUAGCGGUGGAAUGCGCAGAUAUCAGGAGGAACACCGGUGGCGAAGGCGGGUCUCUGGGCAGUAACUGACGCUGAGGAGCGAAAGCGUGGGGAGCGAACAGGAUUAGAUACCCUGGUAGUCC